AUUGAACGCUGGCGGCAGGCCUAACACAUGCAAGUCGAACGAGUAGCGGACGGGUGAGUAAUUUCUGGGAAACUGCCUGAUGGAGGGGGAUAACUACUGGAAACGGUAGCUAAUACCGCAUAACAUCCGAUGUGCCCAGAGGGGAUUAGCUAGUAGGUGGGGUAAAGGCUCACCAAGGCGACGAUCCCCAGCUGGUCUGAGAGGAUGACCAGCCACACUGGAACGGAGACACGGUCCAGACUCCUACGGGAGGCAGCAGUGGGGAAUAUUGCACAAUGGGCGCAAGCCUGAUGCAGCCAUGCCGCGUGAAUGAAGAAGGCCUUCGGGUUGUAAAGUACUUUCAGCGGGGAGGCGUUACCCGCACAGGAAGCCCCGGCUAACUCCGUGCCAGCAGCCGCGGUAAUAC
rnacentral:rRNA from 1 species